rnacentral:rRNA from 1 species
GAACGGCAGCACGGGAGCAAUCCUGGUGGCGAGUGGCGAACGGGUGAGUAAUACAUCGGAACGUGUCCUGUAGUGGGGGAUAGCCCGGCGAAAGCCGGAUUAAUACCGCAUACGAUCUACGGAUGAAAGCGGGGGACCUUCGGGCCUCGCGCUAUAGGGGCGGCCGAUGGCGGAUUAGCUAGUUGGUGGGGUAAAGGCCUACCAAGGCGACGAUCCGUAGCUGGUCUGAGAGGACGAUCAGCCACACUGGGACUGAGACACGGCCCAGACUCCUACGGGAGGCAGCAGUGGGGAAUUUUGGACAAUGGGCGAAAGCCUGAUCCAGCAAUGCCGCGUGUGUGAAGAAGGCCUUCGGGUUGUAAAGCACUUUUGUCCGGAAAGAAAACGUUCUAGCUAAUAUCUGGAGCGGAUGACGGUACCGGAAGAAUAAGCACCGGCUAACUACGUG